rnacentral:lncRNA from 1 species
GACCUACCACCUAUGGUACUACUAAGUUACGUCUACGGUAGAUCGACUGAAUUCAACCAGAAGUUGCCGGUUGCAAUCGCGAGGAUUGAAGCGUGUUCUUCGGCAACACUGAGGCAGCAUUUGAGAAGAAAUAUCCCUCAGGCUCAGCUCACCAAUUGAAGGACAAGGACAAGGGUUCUAUCCAGAGUUUCCAAGCACAAUUUUUGUAGGGUGUUUUCUGCAGCUGUGACCCAUGCAUACACACCCUAGCCUCCAGCACAGCAUUGACCACCCAGCUAAUCUCAUUCAGCAUUUUCCUUGGCAACAUUGAGGCAGCAUUUGAGAAGAAUUAACCUUCAACUCACCAACCUGCUCUUAGGCAUUUUCUUCAAGGAUGCUAUCCACAGAUGCCAAAUGUCGAAGUUGUACCACCACAAGCUAGACAAGAUUUUGAUUCCGACUAACCCGUUCUUUAAAGGUCCAUUGCCUUAGGAAAUUAAAACUUUUAUGUCUUGUAUCAAGACCCUUUUAAAGCAACAUAAUAACAAUUGUUUCAUAAAUAAAUGCCUCCUUAUAUUUUUUACAAUUUUUUGAAAACCUCUCCAAGUUGCUCGUCUAAUGGUGGACCCCGCCCUUAAAAUUCUCAGAGUUCCUCGGAAUGAUUGACCAAAGGAUUAGUGAUGUUAUAUCAAGAACGAUCUCCGCUUAGGCAAGCUACGGUGCUUGCUAGCCAGCUCUGCAGGCAUUAUGUUUUGUACACAAACAUAAACAAUUACUUUUGUUAUUAAAUAGUGUGCUAUGCAUCUUUACUUGUUAUUUAUUGUGGUGAAAUUUCACUAAUGGCCCAAUUUUAAAAAGAGAGCUAUACCAUGAGUCGAAGAAGAUCGUAAUUGAUUUGAAUGCCUGUAUAACGUGUCAACUAAAUGCAUGCUAUAAAGAAUUUCAAAGGUAAGAA